rnacentral:antisense_RNA from 1 species
UGGCAACGCGCCUCGCUCAGCGUCAGGCAGAUCAGGCCGCGACCGAACUUGGCCAUAAAGUUGAUGGCUUCCGGCGUGACGUGCUCGGCCGCCAUCAC